CAGAACCUUCUAGAUUCUUAAGUGACAGCUUCUCAUCUGUCCCCACCUGCUGGGGUCUAAUGGAAGGGGGGCGGGUCCCACCUAGGCAUGUGGCUACGUCCAGCUGGGGCAGGUGGCCUGACUGUAGGACAGCCAGUCUCUCUUAGGCAUUGGGCAUGUGGAAAUGUUUUCCACGAACGAUGGCUUUGAGUGACAGCAUCAUUUGAGUGACAGCAUCAUUUGAGUGACAGCAUCAUUUGAGUGACAGCAGUGGUAGGUUUAGGAGUUUUGGGGAUCAUACAGGUAGUAUUAAUUCAGGCCACUUCAGGGGAGAUUGAGAUGAGUCUUGCUGCUGUCCCUUUGAAAAAGAUUUAUUUAGGUUCCCAGCUUUAUAUAGCGGUCCAUUAGAUCUGGCCCUGGGCCUUACAUUCUCUCAUCCAUUCUGCUAUCAAAAUAGCAUGACUAGAUUCCAGGGCUCAGCAGAAACCCUCAGGAUCUCCAAGGUCUCUGCUCUCACAUGGAGGGUUUC
rnacentral:lncRNA from 1 species